CACAUUCCUGGUGUGUUAUCCUCUUUUUUUUUUUAAAGCUCUAUGUCAUUUUCUUGUCUGAGAAGGCCAGGUGCCAUAACCUUGAAAAAUGUUAAAACUUUUAACAACGGAUCUCUUGGCUCUCGCAUCGAUGAAGAACGCAGCGAAAUGCGAUAAGUAAUGUGAAUUGCARAAUUCAGUGAAUCAUCGAAUCUUUGAACGCACAUUGGGCCCUUUGGUAUUCCUUAGGGCAUGCCUGUUCGAGCGUCAUUAACAACAAUUUCACAGGGAAAUGUGGUGUUGGCUGAUGUGGGUCUACACCUUUGCUGUGCUGGUCUCCCUUGGCUGAAAUGGAUAGGCCAGAGAAGGAACAACUGGCAACAAAUUCCUAGAGAAUUCUCAAAUG
rnacentral:misc_RNA from 1 species